CUACGGGAGGCAGCAGUGAGGAAUCUUGCGCAAUGGGCGAAAGCCUGACGCAGCGACGCCGCGUGAGGGAUGAAGGCCUUCGGGUUGUAAACCUCUGUCAGGGGGAAAGAACCCGGAGCCGGUGAAUAACCGGCUCCGCUGACGGUACCCCCAGAGGAAGCACCGGCUAACUCCGUG
rnacentral:rRNA from 1 species